GACGAACGCUGGCGGCGUGCUUAACACAUGCAAGUCGAACGGAAAGAUCCUGCUUUUGUUGGUUUCUCGAUUGCCGCACGGGUGUGUAACACGUGAGUAUCCUGCCCUUGACUUUGUGAUAACUUCAGGAAACUGGGGCUAAUAUCGGAUAUGAUCUCCUGCUGCAUGUUGUGGGUUGGAAAGUUUCGGCUGUUGUGGAUGUACUGGCGGCUUAUCCGCUUGUUUGUCGGGUAGUGGCUUACCAAGGCUUUGACGGGUAGCCUGCCUGAGAGGGUUAACGGCCACAAGGGGACUGAGAGACGGCCCAGAAUCCUACGGGAGGCAGUAGGGGGGAAUAUUGCACAGUGGGGCGAAGCCAGUUGCAGAAACGUCGGGUGCGGGAUAAAGGGUUACGGGUUGUAAACAGAUGUCGCAUGUGACGAAGAGGGAGUGACGGUAAUGGGUAAAGAAGCACCGGCUAACUACGUG
rnacentral:rRNA from 1 species